CCGGGACUGAAGGGAUUGUCUUAAGACCAAUGUGCUACAGUUCUAACAAUAGAAUCACCCCGGGACUGAAGGGAUUGUCUUAAGACCAAUGUGCUACAGUUCUAACAAUAGAAUCACCCCGGGACUGAAGGGAUUGUCUUAAGACCAAUGUGACUGUCUCAGAGUUAAGAUAAAAAUAACACAUAAAACAAGGCAUUCAAAAGGGCUAGCAGCAGCUGCCAUGGUUUAAUAGUUAAAAAGACCAAACCCUUGAGAAAGGCCCUGUGCAGUGGGUGAUAUAAAAAACAUUUCAUAAGAGGUUUAUAUUAUUGAAACCAAAACAGUAUACAAUGUAGUCUAUUCUCAUCCCUACCCUCAAUAACUCCCUAAUGGCCCAUGUGGCCCUGGUCAAACGUAGUGCAUUAUAUAGGGAAUAUGGUCCCAUUUGGGACUCAGCCCUUAUGAAUGGCUCAGUGUCGUGUAGAGCAGGUUGCCCAGGUCAGUAGCCUCCUGGGAGAAUGGUGAUUGAUUACAUGACUUUGUUCCACCUGGUAAAUCUCUUCAAUGGAUCCCUGCAUCCCAUCUCUGCAUCUAAUCAAUACAUUCAUACGUAUGACUCAGACUAAUGACAUUUAAUAGGGGCUGAGCUGGGGAUGGGACUAGGGCUGGGGAUGGGACUAGGUCUGAGCUGGGGAUGGGACUAGGGCUGGGGAUGGGACUAGGGCUGGGGAUGGGACUAGGUCUGAGCUGGGGAUGGGACUAGAGCUGGGGAUGGGACUAGGGCUGGGGGGAUGGGACUAG
ensembl:lncRNA